UAGAUCGUAAUCUUACACGGAUAACUGUGGUAAUUCUAGAGCUAAUACGUGCAACCAGCUCGUUCCCUUGUGGAGCGAGCGCAGUUAUUAGAACAAGACCAAUCCGGCCUUCGGGUCGGUACAAUUGGUGACUCUGAAUAACCGAAGCGGAGCGCAUGGUCUCGUACCGGCGCCAGAUCUUUCAAGUGUCUGACUUAUCAGCUUGUUGUUAGGUUAUGUUCCUAACAAGGCUUCAACGGGUAACGGGGUAUCAGGGUCCGAUACCGGAGAGGGAGCCUGAGAAACGGCUACCACAUCCAAGGAAGGCAGCAGGCGCGCAAAUUACCCACUCCUAGCACAGGGAGGUAGUGACGAAAAAUAACGAUGCGAGGGCUAAUAGCUUCUCGUAAUCGGAAUGGGUACACUUUAAAUCCUUUAACGAGGAUCUAUUGGAGGGCAAGUCUGGUGCCAGCAGCCGCGGUAAUUCCAGCUCCAAUAGCGUAUAUUAAAGUUGCUGCGGUUAAAAAGCUCGUAGUUGGAUCUGGGCUUCUGAAUGGAUGGUUCACUUUACGGUGUAACUGUUCGUUUGGUGCCACAAGCCGGCCAUGUCUUGCAUGCCCUUUACUGGGUGUGCUUGGCGACCGGAACGUUUACUUUGAAAAAAUUAGAGUGCUCAAAGCAGGCGUAUGGCCUUGCAUAAUGGUGCAUGGAAUAAUGGAAUAGGACCUCGGUUCUAUUUUGUUGGUUUUCGGAACUCGAGGUAAUGAUUAAGAGGAACAGACGGGGGCAUUCGUAUUGCGGCGUUAGAGGUGAAAUUCUUGGAUCGUCGCAAGACGAACUACUGCGAAAGCAUUUGCCAAGAAUGUUUUCAUUAAUCAAGAACGAAAGUUAGAGGUUCGAAGGCGAUCAGAUACCGCCCUAGUUCUAACCAUAAACGAUGCCAACCAGCGAUCCGUCGGUGUUUUUUUUAUGACUCGACGGGCAGCUUUCCGGGAAACCAAAGUGCUUAGGUUCCGGGGGAAGUAUGGUUGCAAAGCUGAAACUUAAAGGAAUGACGAA
rnacentral:rRNA from 1 species